GUGCAUUAUUUUAAACCCCCCGGCUAGCUGCUCGUAGCUUUCUGGGACAAGAAAGAAUGCAAGAGAAACCUGAGAACUAUCCAAAGUUAAGGGUCUUCCUGCAGUGACCUUCAACUAUUUCAACUCUUAAACAUUA